AAAAUGCGAUAAGUAAUGUGAAUUGCAGAAUUCAGUGAAUCAUCGAAUCUUUGAACGCACAUUGCGCCCGCCAGUAUUCUGGCGGGCAUGCCUGUUCGAGCGUCAUUUCAACCCUCAAGCCCCCGGGUUUGGUGUUGGGGAUCGGGCUGCGGUUCUACCGCGUCCCGGCCCCGAAAUCUAGUGGCGGUCUCGCUGCAGCCUCCAUUGCGUAGUAGCUAACACCUCGCAACUGGAACGCGGCGCGGCCAAGCCGUUAAACCCCCAACUUCUGAAUGUUGACCUCGGAUCAGGUAGGAAUACCUGCUGAACUUAAGC
rnacentral:misc_RNA from 1 species